rnacentral:rRNA from 1 species
UACGUAGGUGGCAAGCGUUGUCCGGAUUUACUGGGCGUAAAGAGCGCGCAGGCGGUCGUUCAAGUCGCGUGUGAAAGCCCCCGGCUCAACUGGGGAGGGUCACGCGAUACUGAUCGACUCGAAGGCAGGAGAGGGUAGUGGAAUUCCCGGUGUAGUGGUGAAAUGCGCAGAUAUCAGGAGGAACACCGGUGGCGAAGGCGACUACCUGGCCUGUUUCUUGACGCUGAGGCGCGAAAGCUAGGGGAGCAAACGGG